rnacentral:tmRNA from 1 species
GGGGUAGUUUGGUUUCGACAUGUAAAUACUAGAAAUGAUUGCAAGUGGUAGGCAUACCUAAAAUGCAUAUAAAAAAUAAAUAACGAAACUAAUUAUAGUUUUGCUCCAGUAUACGCUUAAUAACGCGUAGGAGUACUUUAUAAUUACUUUGCUUAUAGAGUUUUUAUAAGGUUAAUUUAUAUAAGAUAUAUUAUUUUAUUUGAUUAAUGUAAAAUAACGAAUUUGUAAUUAAUCUUGUUAUAUAGAAAGUGUGUUGGAGCUGUCUAUAUAAUAAAAUAAAUUCCAACUAAACUUGUAGAUAUUGUUUUAUAGGUUAUAUUGGACACGAGUUCAAAUCUCGUCUACUCCACCA